rnacentral:rRNA from 1 species
CUAACCGUGCAAAGGUAGCACAAUCACCUGUCCUUUAAAUCAGGACUAGUAUGAACGGCCCCACGAGAGCUAUACUGUCUCCCCCCUCCAAUCAGUGAAACUGAUCCCCUCGUGAACCUCACACCUCACCAACAGAAUUACAUGACUGCUAGUCUUUCGGCUGGGGCAGCCACGGGGAAAAACAGAACCCCCGAGAUGAAAAGAACCCAAUCCUAGAACUACUAUUCAAAGAAUCAACAAAUGACAUUAUUGACCCAACAAUUGACCAACGAACCAAGCUACCCUGGGGAUAACAGCGCAAUCCAUUUCAAGAGACCUCAUCAACAAAUGGGCUUACGACCUCGAUGUUGGAUCAGGGCAUCCUGGUGGUGCAGCCGCUACCAAAGGUUCGUUUGUUCAACGAUUAAAACCCUAC